rnacentral:rRNA from 1 species
GAUGAACGCUGGCGGCGUGCUUAACACAUGCAAGUCGAACGGAAAGGCUCCUGCUUGCAGGGGUACUCGAGUGGCGAACGGGUGAGUAACACGUGGGUGAUCUGCCCUGCACUUCGGGAUAAGCCUGGGAAACUGGGUCUAAUACCGGAUAGGACGAUGGUUUGGAUGCCAUUGUGGAAAGUUUUUCGGUGUGGGAUGAGCUCGCGGCCUAUCAGCUUGUUGGUGGGGUAAUGGCCUACCAAGGCGUCGACGGGUAGCCGGCCUGAGAGGGUGUACGGCCCCAUUGGGACUGGGGAACGGCCCAGCCUCCUAGGGAGGCAGCAGUGGGGAAUAUUGCACAAUGGGCGCAAGCCUGAUGCAGCGACGCCGCGUGGGGGAUGACGGCCUUCGGGUUGUAAACUCCUUUCGCUAGGGACGAAGCGCAAGUGACGGUACCUGGAGAAGAAGCACCGGCUAACUACGUG